rnacentral:lncRNA from 1 species
UGAAAUAUUACACUUUCCCUCUCCUCGUCAAGAAUAUUUCCUAAGAUUUAUUCUCUACGACCUUCUUCUUCUUCAGCUAACAGAGUAAUUCAGCUCAAUCACCAAGGCAGAGCUCCAGGUGAAUUCAACAGAAAAAGAUGGUUCUUCAAUCAUAGGUAAGCAAACGAAAGGGAGAUUUGGUUUAAAAGCAAACUUACCGUAAUAAGCAAAGAAAGUAGUGAGGAAAAAUAAAAUGAUGAUUAAUGAUGGUUCCUUUCAGGUACCCAUUUCACGUUUUUUAGUGUUUAAAACAUGAGUGGUUUAAAUUAAAGGCAAAUCCAAGAUUUAAACUUUAUGGCUUCUAUCUUUAAAUUUUUUAUCAUUGAACUUAAUAGAUUGAAAGAGGAGAUGGUGAUUGUGGUGCAAUCUGAAGAAGGUAGAGGUUGUAGUUGUGGUGAUUGUCAGAUCUGAAGACGGAGGAAGUGGUGGUAGUGAUAAUGGCCAGACUUGAAGAGAAGGGGUUGUAGCCGGAGAAGAAAAGGUAGCUAGUCACCAGCAAAAAUUAUUUUCAGGAAAAACUAAUCAUUUUCUGGCAGUAAUAUAAGUCUUAGGUUGUUCACACGCUUGGAAAAGGUGAUAAAAUUAUAUAGUUACGUGUCAGCAAAAUGUAUUUAAUUGUGUGCAACAUUAAAUGUUCAAUAAGUAAAGGUUACAGUUAAAGUGUCUAACUGAAAUUUUGUGACAAAUUUAAGGGUCGCCUAUGUAUUUGGCCUAGGAUUAAACUUGAGGCUUUUAAACUUGCUAUCAGAUUUGGGAAUUCAUAGUGCUUAGGAGACUAAUUUUCCAACCAACAUCCUUAAAAAUCCUAAUAAUUAAUCAUGAGACUAAUUAAGGCAUCACUCUCCCUAAUUCUUCCUUCCCUAUUGGUAGCUACCAGUAAUCAGGGUUCUUAACUCCUAAUAACCAGUUUGAAAAAUGACAAAAAAAGAUCUAAUAAUUAAAAGAGCAAGACAAAAUUUAGUCGUACUAUGCUUCAUUAAAAAGAUGUGUGAAUACUAUAUUUUCUUAGUAGUUUGGUGAAACAAUCCCAUCUCUUGCAAAACACACAAAAAAAAAAAAAAAUAAAAAAAGAAGACAAAUUAAAAAAAGAAUUAGCUGGUUCCCACGAUCCAUAUGGGUCAUCUUUUAAAGCCUUUUUUCGGUAAUUAAAUUUUAUUACCUGGGCAAAAGGUAUUUACAGUUAGAUACAAAAAAAAAACCUUAAAAACUGGAGAAUACUCCAACUUCAUUGGUCACCUAUCCAGAUUUUCCAGCUUAACAUUUUGCCUGAAGUUACUUUACACCAUAUCAUACACAAUAAUUUCUGACUAUAUUCUUAGGUGAACUGGAGAAAACUAUAUCUUCUUAGUAGUCUGCUUUGGUUUCAUAAUUCAUAUUCUUUUAUCUAUUUUGGAUAAAUUUCUAAGUAUCAUCAUUAAUUUUCUCAAUUUCAGUAUUGCUAACAAAAUUAUGUUUGGAAUUAGGAUAUUGAACUCCAAAUAGUUGUGCUAUCUCUAUCUCUUUUUUUGGAAAUAGGAAAAUUUUAUUCAUUACUGAGUACUAACGUUACACAAGGAUGUUGUCCCAUUGGGAUAACAGUUUAUGAUCCAAAAAUUAGAUAUAGGUUUUUAUACAAUCAAAUUUAUAGAAAAGAAGGGUUAAUCACAGCCAAUAUUAAUAUUUAAUAGCAGAUCUAGCACUUUUAUGGCGGAUAUUUAUUGUAUAGUAUUAGAUAUGAUUAUCUUGAAGCAAUGAUUCAGUAAAAUUCUAUAAACGUAAAAGAUAAUAAUAAAUGAUAAUAAAUGACUUUUGAGUAAUAAAUGAGACAGAAUUCACCUGACAAGGGUGGGAUCUUCAAAUAUGUUUUCUGACAGUGAUGAAUGAUGAUAAGCAGUUGAAUAUUUUGAUUCUUCUUGGAUCGGAAUAGAAGAGUCAAAGAAAAGAAGGUGUAAAGUUAGGCUUUGUUUCUAUCCAAUAAAACGAGUAUCUUGCACAGAGAAUGUUGAUGAUUUUCUUUACAAAAAGAUCUAAUCCCCUUUUUUCAUCCACAUCUUUUUCUAUUUAUAUAAACACAUAUGUUUCUAAUCUCUAGAUAGUACAACAGAAGAAAUAUAUAUUAGAAUAUUCUCUAGGUAAUCUAAAUCCUAAAGCUGGUCGUCACUUUGUAUAGAAAGCCAAUGCUCGUCCUCGUCCUCGUCUUUUGUUGAAUAGUUUUGAUUUUUGACCCCGACUUAUUUUCUGCAUCUGACCUCGACCUCUUGGAGUGAGGUUGACACGUCACAGCCUUCAAAGGCCCUAUUGCCGUUGAUCUGGUCAAAUAUCUAAGAUGAUGUUUUCGCCCUUAUAGUUAGUCCCUCCGCUUGCUGAGGUCAUCCUUAGGGACGAGCUUGAUAAGUAGAUAAUAGCGGGUGUGGUCAUCAUCAGAGGCGGAUGGCAUGGCAUUUUGUGAGUCAUAUGUUUCAAACUCUUGUCGUCUUAAUAUUCCCGGGUGAUUUUUGGAGAGAGCCUGACAUGGUAGAGAUGUGACAUCAUUCAUCAUGAUGACGUCUGUUCCUGAUGCGUCACGUCAAUACAUAGGUAGCUUGUGGAUUGGUUCUAACGUUUUGAUUGCGGCUGCCAUUGUGAUGCAUCGCUUCGAAUCCUGAGACUCCUCCUUUAUAAAUAGGGGGAUGAUCACCGCAAUUCGAAUUCUUUCUUUACUUCCAUUGCCAAAGCUUUCUUCAUCUCCUUCUUAGACUCUAUUUCUCUGUUCAUUACUCCUAAAGUUUUUCUCCAUUUUCUUAACUCUUUCCCUUCCUAAAUUCCCCAAACUUCACAAUCAUGUCUAACUUGUCUUCUAAUGUUUGGGGCGGAGAGGUUUUUUAUAUGAAGAGGAGAUUUCGGCUACCUCACUGGCUGUUGCAGCCUUCAUUCGCAGAGGAGACGCCACCACCGUCGUUGAAAUAGAAGCCCUUCUCUCAAUAGAAGAAAUUAUUCCUUUCAAUCCCGACGCGAAACUGGACUUGCAAUGGCAGCAAAUGGCGGUGAGUGAGGUUUUUCGAUCCUCUCUAACAACCAAGUAUUUGGCGGAGUUCAAGGAUAAGUAUGGCCUUCUUAACCAAGUGGAGCUUGUGUCGCCGGUGAUGAUGAAGUGUACACUCAUUGUCCGGCCCUCUUUGCCUACCCCUUCACCAUUGGAUAUUCAUUUCCUCUUCCCCCUUUGGUUGAGAAAUUGUGCCACUAUUACAGGGUCUGUCCGGCUUAACUCACGCCCUUGGUUUACAAGGUAAUCAAGAUACUGUCUAAAUCUGUCAAGCUGGAUGAUGUUGAGAUCACUAUAUGGCAUUUGGUGCACAUGUUCAUGCCCAACUUCUAUCGGGCACGAUGUUGAGCAUUCGACAUCGUAGAAGCAAAUCCCUGGUCAUUAAGAUUGACAACAAGUGCAGUCGACAAUUUUGGCUCGACUUCUUUUUUGUCAAGACCGAGUCCAUAGUGGUUGAUGUCACAAACUCUCGUGAGGCUUGGAAUCGUGACCGUAUGUAUCGCUUAUCCUUGUUCUCUCAUGCAGUUGUACAUUUCGACAUAAUGAGUUAACUCUUCUUGUUUUGCAGCUACUUCUUGGAGUCUUCAGUCGGUGGCGCACCUCGCCGACUGUGUCAGGCAGGUCCUCCCUUGUACUGCGGGGACCAGAGAUUGGUAUGGCUUUUGGUAGAAGUAUAAACUGGCUCCCCUCCCAAAAGAUAACAUUAAUGCAUUAUUUUCAAAUUUGUACUUGGUUUCAUUAUCUAAUUAUGUUUGUUUUCGUGUCCCCUUCCAGGCCCUGCCAAGGAGGCCACCAAGAGGAACUUGGAACCAACAUCUUCUUUCAGGAGAAGGAGGGGUGUUACCUCCUCUGCGCCUGCCUCCGAUUCGACCACUAUGAUAGUUCUUUCUUCAGCUCCUUCUCAAGUUGAAGAGGAAGAAAUUUCGUAGCACGACAUAGACUUGGGGCCUCGAAAGAGGAAGGCCAUAGAUGAGGCGCUGGUGUACUAGCAUCGGUUGACUAAUCUGAAGUCUCUCUUGAUAUCGAAGUGCAAAAUGCUAUGCCAGCCCGAGUCAAAGAACGUGCUGGGGCGGUCCCAGAGGUGCCUCAAGUGGAGGAAGCCGAUGUUGCGGCUUCUUUGUGACAUGAGGGGGGAUGAGGUCGCAUGGGGUUCUAAACAAAGAUACCAUACUUCCUGGGCGCGAGGAGGGUCCAUAUACUGAAUUGGCUCAGGAAACUUUCCCUAUUGAUAAGGGUAAAUACAAGAUGCCUGCCGAGCAGGGUGACAAGAAAAAUAAGCCCAUCAACGAUGAAUCCAUUUCUGAUUUCAACCCCGAAGAUCAUGAGAUGAUCUAAAGUGGGACGACUCAUAUCGAGGUAAAGGUACAAGGGGGGUUGAGAACCAUCACAAUCCUGAUAAAACACAACUGACUAAAGAACACCGAGGAUGUGGUUCAGGCUUUUUGUCCCUUAUGCUUGGAAACCAAGCACAGACUCUCAGGGAACUAAGUGACAACACUCUUUCCAGUAGAAUCGCCGCUUUCUCUUUCAGGGUAAGUCAUUUCCUUUCUCUCUCUUUCUCUUUUUUUUUGCUUUGGAUUUCUUUCGAUCCUUACCUUACUUGCCUUUUUUUCAUUCUCGUGUAGACCGUUAUUUUAGAGAUUGAGAGCGUGCAGAGAGAGAAAAGGAGGAUGGAGGUCCACCACAAAAUGCGGAAGAAGUAUGAGGAGUUUUGCGGGUGGUAUAGGGAGGCUGAGAGGCGGCUCCGUGAAAAGGGUGACGUACCCGCCCUAAGAGAGGAGCUGCGAAAGAAAGACAAAGAGUUGGUUGUGUCCGUGGAGCGGCUCAGCACUCUUGAAGGGGCAUUAAAGAGAAAGGACGAGGAGCUCGAGCUGAGCAGGGGCAUAGAAGCUCAAUUCCACGACCUUCAGGGUCGGGUCGACCAACUGCAAGGUCAGUUAAGUGAGUGCCAGUUCAAAGUGGAUGGGCUCUGGGGGAGGUAGCUGAAAAAUAGUAGCUAAUUGAUGAGGUUGAAUCCUCUCGUAAACAAGCUCGAAGAAGGGAUGCUCUUGUUGAGUUAGAGAAUAAAAGCCUCUGUGUUAACCGGGACAAUGUUCAGUCAAUGGCUGAAGCUAAGGAGGCUAGACUCAAGGAGAGGAAUGACGAGUUGGAGAGAGAGAACACCGAGAUGCUUGAGCGAAUUUCUGCUGCGGAAAAGCGAGAAGGAUGGACUAUUCGAACGACCUCCACUUUUCAUGCUAUGAUUUUUCGGCCAUUCCGUGAGGGUAGUAUGAGGAGUGGAUCCUUGCCGAGGUUUGAGUAGAGGUGGUUCGAGAGUUGGGUCAGACGAUCUUUGUCUUUGAGACGACCUUGAAGGAGGCUUGAGUUAAAGCUCGUGAGGCUCGGUUGGCGUGCAAUUACGACCCCGACAUGCCUCAGCCUGAUGCAGAGGAUGAUGAUGAAAGAGGCCUCCCUAAGCUUAAAGACAGCGCAUGGUGAGACUCCACUUACAACCGAGGCGAGGAUGAAUAGGGUGAUGGAGACCAAGGCAGUGACAAUCAUUAGACCUUCCGCCCUUGAUUUGUUUUAGCUUUUGUAAUUUGUACUUUUUCCUUCUCUCUCUUUUAGUUGGCGUAUUUGUGUGCCUUUGUAAAGACAACCUCUCUUAUCUUUGCAUAUUUUUGUUUUGGUGAUCGUGUGCUUUACUUUUGCACUUCUUUCCUUUGUUGAUGCCCUCAGGGUUGCGAUGAUCGCGUGGUUGGGAAGUUUUACUCAAGAGGGUUGAGUGGCCACAUGACGGGGAGUUUUAUUUAAGCUGAUUGAAUAUAUAUCUUUUUAGUUAAGGCGUGGCCAAGGGCCAAUAGGUUUUAUUCGAGCUGGUCCAACAUACUUUUUAGUUGAGAUGUGGCCAAGGGCCGAGAGUUUAUGUUCGAGCUGGUCGAACGUAUCUCUAUGUUAAGAUGUGGAUAGGGGCUGAGGAGUUUUUUUCGAGCUAAUCGAGUGUAUAUCUAAGUUGUGAUGUGGCCAGGGGCCGAGGAGUUUUGUUCGUGCUAAUCGAAUCAUACCUCUAAGUUGUGCCAUGGUGAGGGGCCGAGGAAUUUUGUUCAAGCUAGUCGAGUCAUACCUCUAAGUUAAGACGUGGACAGGGGCUGAGAAGUUUUGUUCGAGCUAGUCGAAUCAUACCUCUAAGUUGAGAGACUUAGGAGAGCAGUUUCUAUAAACAUGUAUCUCAUUUAUUUCAAUAACAUUGUAUUGAUUACAUCAUUUUGCCAGAGGCUUUUUGGAGAAAAUUACAAGUUUUGGGUACUGACUGGCACUUUAGUCCCAAUCCCAAUAUAUCUAGUCCCUUCAUUGUUCGACUCAGUGAUUUUUGAGCGUUCGGGCAAUCAAAUAUGGUUGUUCUCGCAUACUUCACCUUGAAAUGUCCUGUCCGCUACCUCGUUAAAAACCUCCUUGAGAAAACCCUGUGGGGACAAAACGCAAGUGAGGGAAAAAGAGUACAACUUACGCGACACUCCUUGUUUUUUAGAAGUUGAAGCAUUUGAGGUGGUUGAUGUUCCAAUUGUUCGAUAAGAGCUUUCCUUCCAAUGUCUCUAGUUGGAGUGAACCCUUGUAUGCCUUGCAUAUGAUUUUGUACAGUCUAUCCCAAUUGGAUACUAAUUUUCCUUCUCGGGGAUCUCUUCCUGCUUGGGUCUUGGCUUUGAGCAUGUAGUCCCCUAUCUUGAGUAAUUGUAAUUUGGCCUUUCUGUUGUAGUAGCAUUCUACUUGUUGUUUCUAUGCGACCAUUCAUACAUAUGCCAUGUCUCUCCAUUUUCCAACUUCAUCGAGGUCCUAUCUUUUGUUCUCGUCAUUGUCAUUACCACUCGGUUGUGUACCUUAGGCUGGGUUCUCCUACUUCGACCGGUAUGAAUGCUUCUAAUCUAGACUAAGGAGUAAGGUGUCUCUCUUGUACUCAUUUUUGGGGUUAUCCUAUGUGCCCACAACACUUCUAGAAGUGUCUUCGGCCACAUUCCCUUAGCAUCUUCGAAUCUCUUCUUCAGGAUGUUCAAAAUCGACUUGUUGGAGGAUUCUUCUUGCCUGUUGCCAGCGGGAUGGUACGAGGUUGAGAGUAUUCUUUUGACAUGCCACAUUUCGAGAAACUAGGUGGAUUUUCUCUCUGUGAAUUGGGGUCUGUUAUUGUAGCUUAUUUCUUUUGUAAUGACCCGGCCAGUCGUUUUGAGAGUUAGAGCCCUGAUCUCCUAUUAACUGCUUUCCCCGUAUCUUUUUCUACUAUUGUGACUUGCUGGGAAGAUUCGUUUUGAGUUUCGGAGUGUUUUGAGACACUUAGUCCCUAAAUGGAAUUUGAAUCUUAGAAUUUGAACCACAGUUAGAACUGUGUGAAGACGACUCUGGAAUGGAGUUCCCUCGAUUCCGUUAGCUCCAUUGGCUUAUUUUGGGCUUAGGGGCGUGUCCGGAUUGUGUUUUUGAGGUAUGUAGCUCAUUUAGGCUUGAAAUGGCGAAAGUCAAAUUUUUGGAGUUUUGGGCUGGUAGUGGAAAUUUUGCUAUAAAGGUCGGAAUCCGAUUCUGGAAGUUGAAAUAGGUCCAUAGUGUUGAAUAUGACUUGGGUGCCAAAUUUGGGAUUAAUUGGAUGUGGUUUGAUAGGUUCCGACAUCGGUACUGGAAACUUAAAGUUUCAAAUUUAUUAUGUUUGGAUUGGAGGGUAAUUUGUGUUUUUAGCAUUGUUUGAUGUGUUUUGAUGGCUCAACUAAGUUCAUAUGAUAUUUUAGGAUUGGUUGGUAUGUUUGGUUGAUGUCCCGGGGGCCUCGGGUGUGUUUCUGAUGCUCAACGAAUUGAUUUGGGACUUAUGCAAACUACUAAAGUUGUUGCACCUAGUGUUUUUUACCUACGCACUUUGGGGCCACCGGUGCGGAGCCGUAGAAGCGGAUAUGGGCCUGGUCCAGCUAGGUCCGCAGAUGUGGUGAGGGGUCCACAGAAGCUGAGGCGUAGAAGCUGUUGGGGACCGUAGAAGCGGACUCGCAGGUGCGGCCUAGAGCUCGCAGAUGCGGUACCAGCCCACUUAAGUUAAUUCCGCACCUGCGAUGUAAUUUCCGCAGGUGUGACGUUAGCAGGUGUGAAGAAGGGUCCGUAGGUGCGGUUUGACAGGCAGAAAAAGGGCAAAAUCAAGGGUAUGAUUUCAUUCUCCAUUUUUGGGCUUAGAGAGCUCGGAUUGAGGCGAAAUUUCGAGGGAUUUUCAGAGGAAGCUUGUGGGUAACGAUUCCUUACUUGAUUUUGGUUGUAUUUCAUUAUUGUUUUCUUCAUUUAAUCAAGGAAUUUGGGUGAGAAAGUUGGGAAAUGGGGAAAAAAUUCCCCAAUCAAAUUUUUGAGUUUUGAGUGGGAUUUUGACAUCAGAUUUGGAUAAUUUUCAGUACGAGUGAGCUCGUGAGUGAAUGGGUGUUCAUAAUUUGUGACUUUUACCCGAUUCUGAGGCGUGGGCUCGGGAAGGCUUUUUGGGCGUUUUUCUAAUUUCUUGCCUUAGCUUUGAUUUCGUUAGCUAGAUUAGUUUCUUGUAGCUAUAUUUAUGUUAUGUAAUUGGUUUUGGCUAGGUUUGGGCCAUCCAGAGGCGGAUAUUCGUAGAAAGAGCAUUAUUACGGAUUGAUUUGAGCUCGGUUCGAGGUAAGUGGCUUGCCUAACUUUGUGUGGGGAAACUCCCCUUAGGAUUUGAUAUUGUUUGAUAUAUGAGCGCCAUGUACGUAAGGUGACAAGUAUGUACACAUGCUAUUUAAUAAAACUUCGUUUUCACUAAGUCAUAACCUUUUUUCUCCUUGUUUGAACUACAAUAGAAUACGUAAAUACCUUGUUUAGAUUAGAAAAGCAUGCCAUCGUAUUUUAAACACCUAUUUAAACUCUCUGCAACAUGUUUAGUGAAAUUACUUGUUUUCUUUGAUGUGAACUUAGCCUAAACUGUAGGUCUCCUUGCUGUAACUGUUGGUUAUAUUGCUUGAGCUACAUAUUUACUUUGGGACUACAGAAUGGUAUUCCGGGAGAUCCCCCUGUACUGUAAUUUACUUUGGGACCGCGGAACGGUAUUUUGGGAGAUGCCCCUAUACUGCAUAGUUACUUUGGGACUACAGAACAGUAUUCCGGAGAUCCCCAGUACUGCAUAUUUACUUUGGGAUUACGGAACGGUAUUGCGAGAGAUCCCCUUGCACAUUUAUGUUUGGGACUACGGGACGGUAUUCUGGGAGACCCCCUGUUGCUAUAACUGUGUUCUGAGCUGUUGACUUUCAUUGAAUUUUAUUCCUGUUAGAUUUUCGUACUUAUUUUUCUGUAAUAUUUUCUUUCUUUCUUAUUUCAUUAUAUUUAUACUAGUAGGGCUCUGACCUGAUCUCGUCACUACUCGACCGAGGUUAGUCUUGGCACUUACUGGGUACCGUUGUGGUAUACUCAUGCCCUUUCCUGCACAUGCUUUCCGUGUGCUGAUCCAGGUACUAGCUAUCAGCCUCGAGUCUAGUUGUGUGGUUGCUGCUUCAUGAGACUUCAAGGUACAUCUUCCCGCAUCCGUAGACCUCAAAGUCCCCUUCUAUCCCCUAUGUUCGUUUUAUUUUUUUCCUUAGAAAUGAUGUAUAGAACAGUUAGGACUUCUUAGAAGCUUGUGACAUUGCGAAAUUCUGGGUUUUGGGAAAGAUGAUUAUUGUGUAUGCCGAGUGGCACCGUUUCUGCUUAUUUAUUUUAUCUGUUAGCUGUUAUCCUUGUGUUUUCAUUUCAUUUCCGCAAUAUUAGGCUUACCUAGUCGUAGAUACUAGGUUCCUUCACGACAGUUCAUAGAGGGAGAAAUUGGGUUGUGACAAGUUGGUAUCAAAGCUCUAGGUUCAUAGGAGUUCUGAGUCACAAGCCGGUUUGUUAGAGUCUUGUGGAUCAGUACGAAGCUGUUGGUACUUAUCUUCGGGAGGCUAUGGAACUGUAAGGAAAAUUCCACUUCAUUGAUUCCUUGUGGUGCGAGAUUAUUGACUUCGAAAUUCUAAACUUCUAUAUUCUAUUCUCCCACAGAUGGUGAGGAAACGUGCUACCAGAGAUGACCAGGCACCCGUGCCCCCUGCUGCAGCCGGCCGAGGCCGGGGCCGGGGUAGAGGCCGAGGACGUGCAUGCGGUGUAACUAGAGCACCCGCACGAGCUGCUACAGAGGAGCCACCAGUAGCUCCAGCCGGAGCACAGGAGCUGAAAUGCCUACUACUACUACUACUGUAGCUCUUCAAGAGACCCUUGCACAGUUCAUGAGCAUGCACAUCACUCUAGCUCAGGCAGGGUUGAUUCUCCUUACUGCAACCAUAUCUCAGGGCGGGGGAGGAGCUCAGACUACCGUCGCCUGCACCCCAGAGCAGCGGGUUUAGGUUGAUCAGUUCCUAGAGGUUAUACUAGUGCCGCCUACAGUACCAAUUCAGCCCGAAGGUAGGACAACAGCUUCAGAGGAGGAGCAACGGAGGCUCAAGAGGUACAAGAAGUAUGACCCUCCUAUAUUCAGUGGUCUAGUAUUAGAGGAUGCUCAGGGAUUUUUGGAGGAGUGCCACCGUAUCCUCUGCACUAUGGGCUUAGAAGAGUCGAGUGGGGUUUCUUUCACUACCUUUCAGCUUCGAGGAGUAGCCUAUCAGUGGUGGCGUACUUAUGAGUUAGAUAGUCCGACUAAGGUAGCUUCCCUUUUAUGGACUCAGUUCUCGAACAUAUUUUUGAGAGAGUAUAUCCCUUAGAGCCUUAGGGAUGCAUGGUGCACAGAGUUUGAGUAGUUGCGCUAGGGUUCUAUGACUGUUUCAGAGUAUGCAGUCUGUUUUAGUGACUUGGCUAGACAUGCACCAGCCUUGGUUUCUAUAGUUCGAGAGAGGGUUUGCCGGUUUAUUGAGGAGCUCAUUCCCAGCAUCAGGACUAGCAUGGCAUAUGAGUUAGAGAUGGAUAUCGCGUAUUAGCAGUUGGUGAGUAUUUCUAGGAGUGUAGAGGGCAUGCUUGCUCGGGAUAAAGAGGCGUGAGAGGCCAAGAGGUCUCGAGAGUCGGGCCAUUAUUCUUGUGCCCAUGCCCCAGCUGUAGUUCGUCAUGGUAGGGUUAUGUGUCACCCCAUUCAUUCAGCUCUUCCAGCCACCAGUGGUAUUCCAGUUUCUCCCAGACCUCAGGAGCCUUAUUAUGCACCUCUAGUAUCUAGUGUGCCUCCUGCACGGGGUGCUUUCAGUGGUCAGUCUAGCAGACCUGGUCCGAGCCAGCCACAUCUUCCAUACCCCCAGAGCUUGUUUUGAGUGUGGUGACACUUGUCAUAUGGUGAGGGAUUGCCCCAGAAUUAAGAAGGGUGCACCUCCACAGACUUCUCAGCUACAACGUGCUCCACAGGGUUCCUAGGCUAUGAUUACGGCACUAACUGCCACCCCACCUGCCCAGCUAGCUCGAGGUGGAGGUUGGGGAGGUAGAGGUCACCCUAGAGGGGGAGGCGAGGCUAGAUACUAUGUCCUUCCUGCUCAUAUAGAGGUUAUUACUUCCGAUUCUAUCAUUACAAGUAUUGUUCCGGUCUGUCAUAGAGAUGCAUCGGUUCUAUUUGAUCCCGACUUCAUUUAUUCUUAUGUGUCAUCUUAUUUUGCCCCACAUUUGGGUGUAUCUCAGGAUUUAUGAGUUCGCCUGUUUAUGUAUCUACUCCUGUGGGAGAUUCUUUUGUUGUGGACCGCGUUUAUCGGUCAUGUUUGAUCAUUCUUGGUGGUUUUGAGAUGAGACCGAUUUAUUAUUACUCAGCAUGGUAGAUUUUGAUGUUAUCUUAGGCAUGGACUGGUUGUCGCCCCAUUAUGCUAUUCUUGAUUGUCAUGCCAAAAUUGUGACGCUAGCUAUGCCAGGUGUACCGCGAUUAGAGUGGAGGAGUACCUUAGACUACACUCCCAGUAGAGUUAUUUCAUUUCUUAAAGCUCAGCGAAUGGUUGAGAGGGGGUAUGAUGCGUAUCUAGCUUAUAUGAGAGAUGCUAGUAUUGAUACCCCUACAGUUGAUUCAGUCCCAGUAGUGGGAUUUCCCUGAUGUGUUUCUAGCUAAUCUUUCGGGCAAGCUGCCCGAUAGAGAUAUUGAUUUUGGCAUUAAUUUGUUGCCAGACACUCUACCCAUUUCUAUUCCUCCUUAUCAUAUGACCCCUCCUAAGUUGAAGGAGUUGAAGGAACAGUUACAGGAAUUGCUUGAUAAGCAUUUCAUUUGGCCCAGUGUGUCACCUUGGGGUGCUCCUAUCUUGUUUUUGAAGAAAAGGGAUGGUUUUAUGCGUAUGUGCAUUGAUUAUCGCUAGUUGAACAAAGUUAUAAUGAAGAACCGAUAUCCUUUGCCUCGUAUUGGUGACCUAUUUGAUCAGUUACAGGGUGCCUGAGUGUUUUCCAAGAUUGAUUUGCGUUCAGGUUAUCAUCAGUUGAAGAUUUGCGAGUCAAAUAUCCUGAAGACUGCUUUCAGGACUCGUUAUGGUCAUUAUGAGUUCCUUGUUAUGUCAUUUGGGCUGACCAAUGCCCCCAACAACAUUUUUGCAUUUGAUGCACAGUGUAUCUUGACUCGUUCAUCAUUAUUUUUAUUGAUGACAUUCUGGUGUACUCCCGGAGUCGGGAAGAUCAUGAGCAGCGCCUGAGGACUGUGCUUCAGACCUUGAGAGAGAAGAAAUUAUAUGCAAAGUUCUCAAAAUGUGAGUUCUGGUUGGAUUCACUACCAUUUUUGGGUCACGUAGUAUCCAGUGAAGGGAUCAAGGUAGAUUCGAAGAAGGUAGAAGCAGCGUAGAGUUGGUCCAGGCCGUCCUCAGCUACAUAUAUCCGGAGCUUUCUUAGAUUGGCGGGCUAUUACCGUUAAUUUGUUGAGAGAUUUUUGUCUAUUACAGUACCUAUGACCAGGCUUACCCAGAAGGGUGCUCCAUUCAGGUGGACGGAAGAGUGUGAGGAGAUCUAUCAGAAAGUCAAUACAGUUUUAACUACAGCCCCAGUAUUGGUAUUGUCUUUAGGUUCGGGGUCUUAUACAGUUUAUUGUGAUGCAUCACGAGUUGGCCUCGGUGUGGUAUUGAUACAGUACCGUAGGGUGAUUGCCUACACAUCUAGGUAGCUGAAGGUGCAUGAAAAAACUAUCAUGUCCCUGACCUUGAGUUAGCUGCUAUUGUUUAUGCCUUGAAGAUUUGGAGUCACUAUUUGUACGGGGUUCCUUGUGAGAUCUAUACUGAUCACUGGAGUGUGCAACAUCUCUUCAAGCAAAAGGAUCUUAAUUUGCAUCAGAGGAGGUAGUUAGAGCUGCUUAAGGAUUAUGAUAUCACAAUUUUGUACCACUAGGGGAAGACCAAUAUGGUGGCCGAUGCUUUGAGUCGUUGGGCAGAGAGUUUGGAGAGUUUAGCUUAUCUACCAGCAGUAGAGAGGCCCAUGGCAUUAGAUGUUCAGGCCUUAGCCUGCCAGUUUGUGAGAUUGGAUAUUUCUGAGCCUAGUCGAGUAUUGGCUUGUGUGCUCUCCUGGUCCUCUCUUUAUGAUCGUAUUAGGGAGCGUCAGUAUGAUGAUCCCUAUUUGCAUGUCCUUAAGGACACGGUCUAGCACGGUGAUGCUAAAGAGGUCACUAUUGGGGAUGAUGGUGCUUUGAGGAUGUAGGGUAGGCUUUGUGUGACUAAUGGGGACAAUUUACGUGAGUUGAUUCUUCAGGAGGCUCAUAGCUCAUGGUACUCUAUCCAUUCGGGUGCCUCGAAGAUGUAUCAGUACUUAAGGGAGCAUUAUUGGUGGAGGAUGAUGAAGAAAGAUAUUGUGGAGUAUGUUAUCAGUCCAGCAUUCAGAUGGCACCGUAUGAGGCUCUGUAUGGUAGGCGAUGUUGAUCCCCACUGGGUUGGUUCGAGAUGAACGAGGCUAGAUUAUUGGGCACAGACUUUGUUCAGGACGCCUUGGAGAACGUUAAGGUGAUUCAAGAUAGACUUCGCACAGCCCAGUCUAGACAGAAGAGUUAUGCGGACCAGAAGGUUAGCGAUGUUUCAUUUAUGGUUGGAGAGCGGGUCUUGUUUUGGGUUUUGCAUAUAAGGGGCGUUAUGAGAUUCAGAAAGAGGGGCAAGUUGAGCCUAAGGUUUAUUGGUCCCUUUGAGGUGUUGCAGUGUGUUGGGGAGAUUGCUUAUGAGCUUGCGUUACCUCCCAGCUUGGCAAGAGUUCAUCCGAUAUUUCAUGUUUCGAUGCUCCGGGGGUAUCACGAUGAUCCGUCUCACAUGUUGGAUUUCAGCUCAGUCUAGUUGGCAAGCAUCUAUCUUAUGUUGACGAGCCAGUGGCAUUGGAUAGGCAGGUUCGAAAGCUGAGGUCAAAGAACAUUGCAUCAGUAAAGGUUUAGUGGCGGGGUCAGCGGGCCGAUGAGGUGACUUGGGAGACCGAGCAGGAUAUGCGUAGCCAUUAUCCCCAUCUUUUCACCACUUCAGGUAUGUCUCUAUGCUCGUUCGAGGAUGAAUGACUGUUUAAAGAGGGGGAGGAUGUAACGACUCAGCCAAUCGUUUUGAGAGUUAGAGCCCCGAUCCCCUAUUAACUACUUUCCUCAUAUCUUUUUCUACUAUUGUGACUUGCCGGGAAGAUUCGUUUUAAGUUUCGGAGUAUUUUGGGACACUUAGUCCCUAAAUGGAAGCUUGAGUUUUAGAAUUUGGACCGCAGUCAGAACUAUGUAAAGACGACUCCGGAAUGGAGUUCGGUCGAUUCCGUUAGCUCCGUUGGGUGAUUUUUGGCUUAGGGGCGUGUCCAGAUUGUGUUUUUGAGGUCCGUAGCUCAUUUAGGCUUGAAAUGGCAAAAGUCGAAUUUUUGGAGUUUUGGGCCGAUAGUGGAAAUUUUGAUAUCAGGGUCGGAAUCCAAUUCCAGGAGUUGGAGUAGGUCCGUAGUGUUGAAUUUGACUUGGGUGAAAAAUUUGAGAUCAAUCGGACGUGGUUUGAUAGGUUUCGGCAGCGGUUAUGGAAAAUUGAAGUUUCAAGUUCAUUAAGUUUGGAUUGGAGGGUGAUUUGUGUUUUUAGCAAUUUUUGAUGUGUUUUCAGGGCUCGGCUAAAUUCAUAUAGUGUUUUAGGAUUGGUUGGUAUGUUUGGUUGAGGUCCUGAGGGCCUCAGGUGUGUUUCAGAUGCUCAACAGAUUGGUUUGAUACUUAUGCAAAUUGCUGAAGUUGUUGCACCCGGUGUUUUCACACCUGCACACUUUGGGCCGCAAGUGUUGGAGCCACAAAAGCGGCUAAGGAACCGCAGAAGCGGAUAUGGGCCUGGUACAGCUAGGUCUACCAAUGCGGUGAGGGGUCCGCAGAAGCGGUUAGGGACCGUAUGAACAGGCUUGCAGGUGCGGCCUAGUACUCGCAGAUGCGAUCCUAGCAUACUUAAGUGAAUUCCACACCUGCGAUGGAAUAUCCGCUGGUGUGGUACCGCAGGUGCGGAGAAGGGUCUGCAGGUGUGGUUUGACUGGAAGAAAAAGGGAAAAAUUGAGGGUUUGAUUUCAUUCUCCAUUUUUGGACCUAGAGAGCUCGGAUUGAGGCGACAUUUCUAGGGAUUUUUAGAGGAAGCUUGUGGGUAGCGAUUCCUUACUUGAUUUUGGUUGCAUUUCAUUAAUAUAUUGUUGUUUUCUUCAUUUAAUCAAGGGAUUUGAGUGUGAAAGUUGGAAAAACGGGGGGAAAUCUCCCCAAUCGAAUUUUCGAGUUUUGAGUGAGAUUUUGACAUCGCAUUUGGAUAAUUUUGGGUACGAGUGAACUCGUGAGUGAAUGGGUGUUCAUAAUUUGUGACUUUUACCCGAUUUCGAGAUGUAGGUCCGGGAGGCUUUUUGGGCAUUUUUCUAAUUUCUUGCCUUUGCUUUGACUUUAUUAGCUAGAUUAGUUUCUUGUAGCUAUAUUUAUGUUAUGUAAUUGGGUUUGUGCUAGAUUUUGGGGCCAUCCGGAGCCGGAUUAUUCGUGGAAAGAGCAUUAUUACAUGAUUGAUUUGAGCUUUGUUCGAGGUAAGGUGGNNNNNNNNNNNNNNNNNNNNNNNNNUUUGAACUACAAUAGCAUACGUAAAUACCUUGUUUAUAUUAGAAAAGCAUGCCUACGUGUUUUAAAUGUCUAUUUGAAUCUGUGCAGCAUGUUUAGUGAAAUUACUUUUUUUCUUUAAUGUGAACAUAGCCUAUAUUGUAGGUCUCCUUGCUGUAACUGUUGGUUAUAUCCUAUGUACUGCAUAUUUACUUUGGGACUACGGAACGGUAUUCCGGGAGAUCCCCCUGUACUGCCUAUUUACUUUGGGACUAUGGAACGGUAUUCCGGGAGAUCCCUCAGCACUGCAUAUUUACUUUGGGACUACGGAACGGUAUUCCGGGAGAUCCCCCUGCACAUUUACGUUUCUACGGACGGUAUUCCGGGAGAUCCCCUGUUGCUAUAAUUGUGUUCUGAGCUGUUGGCUUUCAUUGAAUUUUAUUCUUGUUAAAUUUCCGUACUUAUUUUUAUAUAAUAUUUUCUUUCUGUCUUAUUUCAUUAUAUAUAUACUAGUAGGGCCCUGACCUAAUCUCGUCACUACUCGACCGAGGUUUGGCUUGGCACUUACUAGGUACCAUUGUGGUAUAUUCAUGCCCUUUCCUGCAUAUUCUUUCUGUGUGCAAAUCGAGGUACUAGCUAUCAGCCUCGAGUCUAGCUGUGUGGUUGCUACUUCAGGAGAUUUCAAAGUACAUCUGCCUGCAUCCGCAGACCUCAGAUUCCCCUUCUAUUCCCUGUGUUCAUUUUCUUCUUUUUCGUAGAAAUGAUGUAUAAAACAGUUAGGACUUCUUAGAAGCUUGCGACAUUGCGACAUUCCGGGUUUUAGGAAAGAUGAUUAUUGUGUAUGCCGCGUGACACCGUUUUGCUUAUUUAUUUUAUCUGUUAGCUGUUAUCCUUGUGUUUUCAUUUCAUUUCCGCAAUAUUAGGCUUACCUAGUCGGAGAGACUAGGUGCUGUCACGACAGUUUAUAGAGGGAGAAAUUGGGCUGUGACAUGUUUGGGCAGGUUGAACCGGCAAAUGAUGUUCUUCUAUAUGAAGUUGAUUACUUCUUGCUCACGAACUUGGGCGAAUGCGCCUACUUCCACUCAUUUAGAGAAGUAGUUAAUCAAAACUAAAAGGAAUUUAACGUUACCUCAUCUCGGCGAGAGUGGUCCCACGAUGUCCAUCUCCCAUUUGAUGAACGAUUAUGGUGAGGUGACAAAAUGGAGGCGUUCACCCACUUUGUGGAUUAUCGGGGCAUACUUCUAGCACUGUUCGCACUUUUUUAUGAAUUCCAGGGCGUAUUUCUGCAUAGUAGGCCAAUAGUAUUCUGCCCAUAUAUGGCAUAUGACAAGUGUUCGGUCACCAGAAUGACUGCCCCAGUGGCCUUUGUAGACUUCCCCGAGGACACGUUGAGUCUGAUUUGAGGUCAAACAUUUUGCAAAGAGGCCACCGUACGUUCUUCUAUAGAAUUCAUUGCUGAGGAAGUUGUACCUUGCUAUUUGCAUUCUCAACUUCCUAGCUUCAUUUUUAUCAUUUGGGAGAACACUGUCCUGCAAGUAAUUUAUAAUACAAUUGUGCCAGUCCUAGGUUAAGUUUAUAUACUUUACCUCGAAGUGCUCUAAGGUUGAGCUAAGAAGAUGCAUCAUAUUCUCGACUCCAUGAGUUAUACUUCUGGUCAUGGCGACCAAUUUUGUGAGGCUGUCUACCUCGACGUUCUAAGUCUGAGGAAUCUGGUCGAGCUGACAUUCAUCCAACUUGGGUAACAGUUUACAGAUCUCGGUCUGGUAUUUCUAUAACCUCUGCUCUUUGAUCUGGAAAGUCCCAGUGAUUGGAUUGAUUACGAGCUGGGAGUCACAUCAUACUUUUAGGCAUCUCGCUCCAUAAUCAAGUGCUAGCGUCAACCCUACAAUUAUUGCCUCAUACUCGAAUCAUUGUUAAUCAUAUCUAGGCACCUUAUAGAUUGGCAGAUUAUUUCACUGAUGGGACUUCGAGCACAAGUCCUAGUCCUGACCCGUAUGCAUUGGACGCGCCAUCGGUGUGCAGGACCCAAACUUCUUGUGUUAGGCCUGAAGCUCGCAUGGCGCCCUCGGGCAUUACCUUGGCACUAAAGUCUGCGACAUAGUGGGCGAGCACUUAUGAUUUUUUGGUUGUGCAAGGCUGGUAAGUGAUGUCAUGUUCACUUAGCUCUAUUGCCCAUUUGGCCAAGCUCCCUAACAGUUCGAGUUUGUGCAGUAUGUUCCUGAAAGGAAACGUGGUGACGACCGAGAAUGGAUGGCAUUAGAAGUAUGGCCUGAAUUUUCUUGAAGCUACGACAAGGGCCAGGGCCAAUUUCGCAAGGUAAAGGUAUCUUCUCUUAGUGUCAAUAAGUGUUUUAUUGAUAUAGUAAAUUAGAGAUUAUGUACCUUUCUCUUCCCGAACUAGGACUGCACUUACCACUACUUAUGAAAUGGCGAGGUAGACAAGGAGAUGUUCUUCAAGCUAAGGCUUUGAGAGCAAGGGCGGCGAUGACAGGUAUUCCUUGAGUUCCUUCAAAGCUUGUUUACAUUUCGGUGUCCAUUCGAGGCCGUUUUCCUUUUUGAGUACGUUGAAGAAUUUUUGGCACCUGUUGGAUGACCUCGAGAUAAAUCUAGAUAGGGCGGUGAUUCGACCAGUCAUUCUUUGGACUUGUUUCUUGGUAGUUAGGUGUUUUGAUAUCCCGUCGAUGGCUUUAAUUAAAUCAUGGUUGACCUCGAUUCCGCGCUGUGAUACUAGGAAACCCAAAAAAUUUAGUCCAAGUUAUGCUAAAUGCGCAUUUCUCGGGGUUUAGUUUCAUCCCAUAUUUCCUCAAUAUUUCGAAUGCUUCCUUCAGAUGGUGGAUGUGAUCCUCGAUCCUCAAAGAUCUGACUAACAUGUCGUCGAUGUAUACUCUCAUGGUCUUGCCGAGUUGGGUUUUGAACAUCUUUGUGACCAGCCUUUGAGAGGUAGCCACCGCGCUCUUUAACCUAAAUGGCAUGACCCGGUAGAUAUACGUUCCCAUGUGAGUGUUGAAUGUGGUUUUCUCCCAGUAUCCUCUUCCAUAAAUAUCUAGUUGUAACCCGAGUAAGAGUCCAGGAUGCUCAGCAACUUAUGUAUUGUUGUUGCGUCGAUGAGUUGAUCGAUGUGUGGUAAUGGGAACGAAUCCUUCAGACAUGCUUUGUUCAGAUUGGUGAAGUCCAUGCACAUUCUCCACUUUUCAUUCUUCUUUUUUACCAUUAACACGUUAGCAAUCUACUUGGGGUACUUCGACUCCCUAGUAGAGCCAUUGGCCAACAAUUUCUCCACUUCUUCAUGGACGGCCUCGUUGAUGGCGGGGUUGAACUUUUGUCAAACCUGCCUUGCUGGAGGGUACUAAGGGUCGACAUUUAACUUGUGUGUGGCUAUCUCUUUGGGGAUUCAUGGCAUAUUUUCAUGGCUAAAAGAAAACAAAUCUCCGUUAGCUAUAAAGAAUUAACUAAACUUACAUGGGUCUUCGGGUUUGCAUCCUAUAUGAGCCUUUUUGCUGGGGUUGUUUGGAUUUAGCUGGACCAGAUUGAGGUCCUCUAUGGUCGAUCCUGCAACUUUGACUGUUUCUGGAUCCAUAAUGGUGUCCUUGACUUUUGCCUAUAGGGAUCUCGACCCUACUGAUUGCUAUGCUUCAUUUUCUUUUUCUUUUUAUUUUUCUGAGUAGUCGCAUUGUCGAGGGCGAUCCAAUAGCAUUCCUUGGAUGCACGUUGCUCCCCUCGUAUGCUGAAUAUUCCUUAGGGGGUUGGGAACUUGAUCACCUGGUACAAGCUAGGGGGGACUGCUCUUAUAGGGUAUAUCCACGGUUGACCUAUGAUAGCAUUAUAUGUUGUGUCCUGGUCCAUGAUGUGGAACAAGGCCUCCAAUGUUAUCCCGCUGGCGAGGACGGGGAGUGUGAUCUCGCUCGAAGCCCGUUCAAUUGCAUUGUUAAAAUUGGUUAGUGUAAUGCAGCGCAACACUAUUUUUUAUUCGAGUCGCAUUUGUGCGAGGACUCGAGGAUGGAUAACGCACGCUCCGCUUCUGUCAUCCACCAUAAUCCUCCUAACAUCAGUAUCAAGAAUGUGUAAAGUUAUGGAAAGUGCAUCAUUGUGAGGGAAAGUCAAACCGUCAGCAUUUGGCUCGUCGAAGAUGAUACUCUUUUCGAGGCCGUCAUACCAUUCAUGGGUGAUCGAUCUCUUGAGUUUUUGAGUGGCGGUAAACUUGAUGCCAUUGAUGGAGGUGUCGUUACAGCCUCCAAUAAUUAUGCUGAUGGUACGAGCGGGAGAUGGCAACUUUGGCGGGCCUGGGCGUUCUCGGCCCUUUGCUAAGGUGUUCCUGCCUCUGUCACUAAGCAGCUCUUUGAGGUGUCCUUAUUACAGUAGAGUCACCACUUCUUACCUUAAAGCGUGGAAGUCUUCCGUCUUCUGUCCUCGGUCUUAGUGGAACUUAUAGAAGGCGUCCGACUUUCUUGUUCUUGGGGUGGACCUCAUCUUUGGUGGCCACUUCACCUUUAGUCCUGGCUUCUCGAGUGUGUAGACCACCUUUGUAGAUGACACACAAAAAUUAUGAGUAGAAAGUAAAGGGACCAUACCUCAGUCGUUUCUGUGGAUGCAUGAUCUUGGUUUAGAGGGGUUGUCUUCGCGGCGGAAGUUGGGGAUGCGUGGUGUGAUAUAAGGUUAAUAUCGAUCUCUGGUUGGUUGCAGCAUCGAAGGGUCUCUCCUUGUGUUUUCCCUAUGCUCCCUCUUUGGUUCAGAUUGCAAUGAGAUGAGUUGUCGUGUUGUUCCAUUGAGUUCCUCAUCGUCCGCUUUGACCUCGGCACAAUAGACAUUAUGGAUCUCGUCCCAGGUGGCUAGUGGAUAUUUUAUCAACUAGCUUAGAAACUUUCUAGUUUCCCUCUACCCUUCUCUGUUCACCCCAUUCUAGAAGGAUGCUACGGCCAUUCCUUCGAAGAUGUUCGGUAAAGUCAUCCUUACCCUAUUGAAUCGAGCCAAGAAGUACCUUAGUCCUUCCCCUAGGGAUUGCUAAUGGCGAAGAUAUCGUUUACCCUGGUUUCGGCUUUCUUGUUAUCCACCAUUUUCUUGAAUGUUUUUAUGGAGUAGGAUGCCAGCUACGAGUACCACAUCAACUUCCCCAUGUGAGGGUUUUGCCAAACUUUUUUACCAAGAUAGAAGAAACCUGUUCUUUGGUGAGAUCAUUGCCUUUUACUACGGUGACGUAAUAAGUCACAUGGUCCUCGGGAUCAGUCAUCUCGUCGUAGAUUCUGAGGUACAUGGGCAUCUUGAAAUUUUAGGUAUAGCAUGAGGGGCUGCCUCCUCCUUGUAUGGUUGUUCCACGAACCCGCCAACAUCUCUUUUUGGUAUCAAUUUUGGGGAACCUGGUAUUUUGGCUACCCGUUCUUGAUGCUCUUUCAUCUUCUCCUUGAGUGGUUGUUCUCGUUCUCCCUUUUCUCUAUUCGUUUGAACUCGACGACGAGAGCGUUUUCACCUGCACUAUUAGCAAUUGUACGGUUAUUACCUAAAGCUGAGAGGUUUAGUUGAUCAUCCCGCCCACUCUUGUGCUGGGCCGCAUGGAUAUUUGGGGUUUCUACGAUCUUGCAUGGGACCUGCUUGCUCAUCACGAUGACUAAGGUAUUCGUUAGCCGGGCUUCUAGAAGCUUUUUGAUGGCAGGUGGUUUUCCUUCUUCUAGUGAUGUGGAAGCCUCGUUGCCGUUGUGUUUGGUCGUGCUACAGAAAGGUGCAAGUGACUUCCUUCGCUCGGGGGAUGUCGUAGGAGUUGUUUCUUCAUCUUGAGUUUUGUACCCUUCGUCGAUGACACUCAUUAGAUUGAGCGGGAUGUUGUCUGCCGCUCUUGUUCCUUUUCCUUGGUCGACUUUUCCCUGAUUACCUGCUAUGGAAUUCUUGUAUGCAAAGACAAAAGAAAUAACAACUUUGCCAUAUGUUAGGUUAACAAGUUAUGAAAGUUGUAGAUUCGAAUGAAAACUAAUAGUUUGACUAAGAAAUCCCCACAGACGGUGCCCAACUGUAUGACCCAAAAAAUAGAUCUAGGUAUUUAUACGAUUAGAUUUAUAGAAAAGAAGGGUUAAACAUAGACAAUAUCAAUAUUCAAUAGCAGAUCUAGCACUUUUAGGGCGAUAUAUUUAAUGUAUAGUAUUAGAUAUGAUUAUCCUAAAGCAAUGAUGGAGCAAUAAAAGCUUAUAAAUGUAAGAGAUAACAAUAAAAGAUAAUAAAUGACUUUUGAGUAAUAAAUGAGAUAGAAUUCCCCCGACAAGGGUGGGAUCUUCCAAUAUUUUUCAGACAGUGAUAGAUGGUAAUAAGCAGUUGAAUAUUCCAAUUCUUCUUGGAUUGGGAGAGAAGAGUAAAAGAAAAUAAGUGUAAAGUUAGGCUUUGUUUCUAUUCAAUAAAGUGAGUAUCUUGCACAGAGAAUGUUGAUGAUAUUCUUUACAAAAAAAUCCAAUCCUCUUUUUUCGUCUACAUCUCUUUCUAUUUAUAAAAAUACAUGUGCUCAAAUCCUAGAUAGUACAACAGUAAGGAAUAUACAUUAGACUAUUCUCUAGGGAAUCUAAAUCCUAAAGUUGAUUGUCACUUCGUACCGAAGGCGGAUGCUCGUCCUUGUCUUUUGUUGAAUCAUUUCGAUUUUUGACACCCAACUUAUUUUUCGCGUCUGACCUCGACCUCUUGGAGUGAGGUUGACACGUCACAGCCUUCAAAGGCCCUAUUGUUCUUGACCGGGUUAAAAAUCUAGGAUAAAGUUUUUUCCCAUACAAAUAGUAGUAGGAUUACUAGAACUAGAAGUAGAAAACACAUUCAUAAAGUUCAAUAUAACAUUGAGGUCACUAAGCUUGACCAAAUUAUUAUACAUAGUACUAGAUAUAAGCUUAGUAGUAACAACUCCAUCCCUGUCUUGGUGAAGUAGUGUUUGACUGGAUAUGGAGGUGUUAAUAAGAUGACUACUUGAUAUACAUUGGCCUUUUUGAUUCCUUGGUUAGCCAAAAGGUGUGCGAUUUUGUUGCCUUCAUGGAAGUUGUGCCGAACCAUUGGAUUCUCCAGUUUUCUCAAUAGCCUGCACUCAUUAAUUAAAUUAUUAAAAAGAGGAAUAUCAUUUUUUCUUAUAAGUGUAUGAUUUCUGCAGCGUCUGUCUCAACUUAAAGAGGCACAAGAUGUCUUUCCGUUGCAAUUUGUAGUCCUAACUUAAGUGUUUGCGACUCAGUAUGAGUGGAAUUGCAUCCAAAGAUUUUACUAGAGAAGCCCAUCAUCUGAUUUUCUUGUGCAUUUCUGAAUAGUUUACUUACUCCUCCAACAAGGGUACUAUGCUGGAAGGCACCAUCGGUGUUAAAGUUUAAAAGGAAUUUUCAGGAGACUGUAUAUUUAUAUUCUAAUGCAUGCAUCAAGACCAGUUCUAAUGAUAGAUCAUGACUGAGGUUGUGGAAAUUAUUGUUGUCUCGAUUCAGCCAGAGGUUCCACAGUGCAAAAAGGAAGAAAUUCAUUCCAGGUUAAAUUACGAUGGUGCACGUGAAAGUUAGAAUUUUUUAUAACUACUAGCCAGUGGUCAGGGGAAGAUUUUAGGGAUAAUAAAUCAUUCCUUACCAUGUUCCUGGAAGCUAUUGGGCAUACUGAGUAAAAUCUUUGAAUGAGUGGAAUUGCGCCGUUUAACAUAGAGAUUUUUUUGAUAAUGGUGUAGGCAAUAAAUUUACUUCAGAAAAAUAAUCGAGACCGAAAAUAUUGCAACAAUCGUAGUAUUUUAUUUCAAGUAAUAUGAGUGUUAUAAUUUUUGUGAUUCAUCUGAUUCUUCUUUCAACGAUAAAUAAAUUCAAGGGUCUUUCAGAUUGAUCUUGAAUCUAUAUUUGUUGCCACGAAUGAUGAUUUUAAAUUCAACUAGAACGAACUUUGAUUUGAAUUCGUACUCCUUGAAUCUUGAUUUGUUUAUCGUUCUUGAGCUUGAACUUGAUUUUGUGAACUUGAACUCGUCUGCUUGAAACUUGAAACUUGUGCAGGAAUUUGUGGCGUUUGAUCCAUGAGCUCUCUCUUGCUUAUUGUUAUAACAUCUAGUGUCUUUUUUUGAGAUAUGAAGACCUCUAUCUAUAAUUGUGGGAGGGAAGAGUUGUGAUGAGAAUAAAUUCUUCCCGACCAAUCAGACUAAAGUGUGACAAGGCCGCAUUUGAUUGGCCAGAACAUGUCCCUUGCACAUGUGGCAUGAUUUUAUUGGACUUUAAAUUGCCUUGUUAUGCCUUGUCAUUUUGAUACAUGACAUGAUCCUAUUGGCUCUUCCAUCUAACUUGUCAUUCCACGUCAUUUGCCACGUGGUACCAAAUUGGGCCUCUAGGAAGAUGACAUAUUGGGCAUAAUGAGGUGGGUUCAUCACUUGUAGCCUAACUAAAUGAGUUAGCCCAGUCAGUAUUUAUUAGACUUAAAUAAUUAAUUUAAUUAUAUUAGAUCAUAUUAUUUUUUUAGAUUAAUAUAUUUAAAAUAUAAUCCACCUUAUUUAUCGAUUUGAAAUCGAUAAAAUUUGAAUAUUUACAAAUGCUCUCCUACUUCAUUAUUAACGACAAGGCCUUAAAGUAUCAGUGAAGCCCCCAAACACGGGUGUUGAAUUAGAGCUUCCAAUGGAAUAAUUUUCACAAUUUACUUGCACUUUGCCUCAAAAGUAUUAAUGGUAAUUCAUAUUUGAACAAGAAUAAGACAAAGCUGUAAUGAUUGAAGUUUGCAUUCUAUAUGUUGUAAUCUCAUUACGUUCACGUGCUAUACUGUUCGAAAUAAAUUUGGUUGACAAUUUACAUUCUUUUCAAAGUAAUCUUCUUUGUCUCUAGUAAGGAUUCUAGGAGAUAGCCAUACAUACUCGAUUCCCUUUCUAGGUGGCAAACGAAUUGUUGCUGCCGCCUUUACUAGUCAAGUUCUUGUAGAAAAUCAAUUAUAGCAAUAUCCUACAUCGAAAUAUGUUCUACGCAGACACCUUCUUGGAAUCUGCAUAUACUACAUGCUCUUCAAUUGUGGUCAGGGGUAUCAAUGGUUCGAUUCGAUCGGUUAUUUUAUAAAAUUUGUAUCAUACUAAUUUUUGAUUAUUUUAUAAUGUAUAAUUAAAAUUAGACUUUUUAAAAUCGUCUCAAUCAUGUCAGUUUCACUUCAGUAUCGGUACGGUUCGGUAAUAUUUGGUAUUUUCUUAAAUGUCAUGUAAAAUUUAUCAGUAAAAAUAGAAUGCAAGAACAUACAUUCUUUUAUAGGACUUAACAGAACUCUCUAGAUAUUUUUACUGUUUAAAGGAUAAUGAAUUAAUAAACAUGAAAGAGGGCUAGAGUAUAAAUACAUAACUAUUUGACAACAACGUAAAAGAAACCAAGUAAAAGCAAAGAAAAUAUAAAUCACACGAGUGGAAAGAUAUUAACCAAGUUGGGACUCAAAAAUAAAUUCUAUAUUAAAUAUCAAAAAGAUAAAUUCAAAUUAUAUGAAAGAAAAUAUAUUCAAUACAUUGUAGUUUGCUACUCAUAAUCGCUAGAGUACUUUGCGUCUUACUAAUAAAGAUACUUGAAAUAGCAUAGUUUAACUAUAAGCAACAUAAUAGGUUUUAGGAAUUAGUAUUUGGACUUUUGUUACUUAUUGGCUUGUAACAAUUUUCAUAAUUCCAAGGCCCAAUGAAAAAUUUAAUGCUUUAUUAGUUUUAAACUUACUAUAUAAAUAUAUUUUUCACAUGUGAAAUUUAUUCGGUACGGUUCGGUAUUUUUUCGAUUUAUUUUUAUAAAAUAAAAAAUCUACCCUAAUUAUUGGUACGGUUAUAGAUUUAUAUAAAAACCUAUGGUUUCUUCAAAAGAAACCUAAAAAUCGGUUUGGUGCAGUACGGUUCGGUCGGUUUAGUAGAUUUUCAAAUAUCCAUUGACACCCCUGAUUGUGGUCAAAAAUCAACGACAACGACAAAGUUCUUCGAGUUUGUGUUUGACAGGUAAAAAUUUCCCCAUCUGCUUUCGUGUAAUUUCUUUUAUCGCCUUUCUUUUCUUUUCACAUGCCAAUCAAGUAAGAGUAAAUUAUCACAUGCAUGAAGAAGGUGAUCCUAGGGAACAAAGGGAUGGCAACUCAUCCCCGUCCGAAAACCGGUGAGAUAUUCUUCGGGCGCAAAGGAAUAUCAACUCAUCUAUUUACCAAAAGGUUGGUGGGAUAAUCUUCGGGCGCAAAAGGAAGGCAACUCAUCUCCGUCCAAAAAAUUAGUGGGAUAAUCGUCGGGCAAAAAGGUGCAUAUGGCAUAUAGCAAGACAAAUCCAUGGCAACAUAACGAAGGACAAACUCUCAACAACAUAUAGAAAAAUCAAGCCACAAGAAGACUAACUUAAGGUGCAAAGUGACUAAAAUGUCCACCUUAAAAUUGAAAAAUUAUAGUUCUUUUCAAGGACAAACCCGCAAAAAGGCCAACUUAAGGUACAAAGGGACUUAAACGUCCACCUUACAAUUGGAAAAUAAUAGUUCCUUUUAAGGACUAACCUGCAAAUAGGCCAACUUAAGAUGCAAAGGAACUUAUACAUCCACCUUAAGAUUGGAAAAUUAUAAAGCUCAACUGAUGACUUGAUGGACUUGACGACUUCAACUUGAACACUUGAACUUUGAAAACUUGGCGGACUUGAAAACUUCAACUUGAAGAGCAACAAACUUGAAGAUUUUGUAGACUUUAAGACUUUAAAUUGAAGAUUUGGCGGACUUGAAGAUUGGGCAGACUUUGACACUUCAACUUGAAGAGCGAUGGACAUGAAAACUUCAACUCGAAGAAUUAGCGGACUUGAAGACUAGCAGACCUGAAGGCUUGGAGGGAUUGAAUACUUCAACUUGAAGACCUGCGAACUUAAAAACAUCAGCUUGAAGACCGAUGGACUUGCAGACUACAACUUGAAUAUUUGGGGUCUUUCUAGAAUACUACCACCAUCUCAUCAGAGAUGUCUAUUUCUUAUGGAGGUUUUCCCCCAUAUAAACAUCAGUAUCUGAUAAGGCACAAAGCUCAAUGAAAGAAUACAUGUAAGUCCGAUUUUAAAGUGACAAAUCCAUUAUACUUCAAUUCGAACAAUGCUAGGGGCAAUAUAUAUUUUUGAACUCAUGCGACAGAACUUGGAAUGAAACUCUAAGUUGCCUAUGUACCUCGAUACAGAGGAUCAAGUCAUACCGUAGUUCAGAACGGGUGAGUUUUUUUUUAAUAUCUUAACUUUUUCCUAGGCCGCCUCUCUCGAGGUUUUCAACCUAGCGGACUCCUUUUUUUGGAUCGUACACAGUUUAUUCUCUUAUGGGCCAAAAGUAACAUGUAGUUUUUGCUCAUACAUUAAGGAGUGUAUUGACUUGCAAUUUAAACUCGUAUUUUGAAGAGCUUUGCAACUUGAAGAUUUUUCUCAAAUUUCAAGAGUUUCAUGACAUGCAGUUUAGGCUCGUGCGCCCAGGAGCCUAGCGACUUGCAAUUUAAGCUCGUAUUUUGAGGUGCUUUGAAACUUUAAGAUUGUCCUAAAAUUUGAAGAGUUUCAUGACAUACAGUUUAGGCUCGUGCGUUCAGGAUUGUAGCGACUUGCAAUUUAAGCUCGUAUUUUGAGGAGAUUUGUAACAUGAAGAUUUUUCUCAAAUUUGAAGAGCUUCAUGAAAUGUAGUUUAGGCUCAUGCGUCUAGGAACAUAGUAAUUUGAAGAUUUACCUUACAAUUCGAAAUGCUUCGAAACUUGAAGACUUGCUCAAUUUUGAAGAGCUUUGAAACUUGAAGUAUGGUUCAGAUUUGAAAAGCUUUGCGACUUGAUGUCUUUGCUCGACUUUGAAGAGCUUUCGACUUGAGUAUUUACUCGAAUUUGAAGAGCUUUACAACCUGAAGACUUUGCUCAAAUUUGAAGAUCUUUACAUCUUAAAUAUUUAGUUCAAAUUUGGGGAGCUUUAUGACAUACAGUAUAGGCUCAUGUGCCAAGAAGCGUUAUAACUUGCAGUUUAGGCUCGUGCAUUGAGAAGCACUAUAACUUGCAGUUUAGGCUCGUACCUUGAGGAGCAUAUUGAUAUGUAUAGACUCUUUGGUUUCAUUCUCAUUUGAAAACUUUCCCCCAUCCUCGCCUUCUUGUUCUUCUUCUUUGUCGUAAGGCUCAAAGAGAGGUAGCCCUUAAUCUCCACCUGUGGCCAUACUUAGUUCCAUAUCAUAAGCACGAGUUACUAGUUCUUCAAAUGUUUUGGGAUUUAUGCCUUGUAAGAAAUAGCGAAGACCCCAAUGCAUUCCUUGAAUGCACAUUUCGAUGCUAUAAGUUUCGCUAAUGCGAUCUUUGCGGUUGUGGCUUAAGCUCCUCCAGUGGUUGAUGAAGUCAAUAACUGGCUCAUCCUUUCGUUGAUGAGCGUUUGUAAGUUCUACCAUGCUUACGAUGUGUCUUAUGCUAUAUAAACUAUUGAGAAACUCAUGCUCUAACUGCUCCCAACUAUCGAUGGAACUAGAUUUGAGUUCUGCGUACCAAUCGAAUGCAUUACCUUUGAGAGAUCGAACAAACUAUUUAAUAAGAUAAUCACCGUACAUUCCAGCAUUGUUUUAAGUUUCAACAAAGCGUGCUACAUAUUGUUUCGGAUUUCCCUUGCUAUCGAAUUAUUGCCACUUAGGAGGUUGAUAACAAACAUGCAUCUUCAAGUUAUCAAUUUCUCCUUUUAUAGCCUCUAUGAUGAAGUCCUUCAAUUUCUCAACGGGAAUCAAAUCUUCACCGAAGACUUGGAUCUCCUUUGUUGUUGUUGCUUGCUUUUUGGUGGAGUCUCCUUUCUCUUGUGACUUUUGAAGAUUUAAAGGUUCUUGUGUGGAUUCUCCUUCUACUAUGCUAUCCAACUUAUUUGUUAACUUGAAAAGCUUAACAUCUUAAUCUUGCACGCGCUUUAACAAGACUUCAACUGCUAUCAUCAAAUUUUCAAGUAGUUCUUCUAUGGUAGAAACUUCAAUAAUCAUUGCUUGAAUAAUUGUUGUACAGGAUGAAAAAUGUUAUGGAUCAUUAUUGGGAUAGAGCUUAGAGGUCGCAUUAAUAUUUAUUGGAGUAUAUCGAGCGCUUAAGUCAUCAUCAUCGGCUUACAUGAAAUAUUUCUUGGAUGUUGAUGAACUAAGUUGGGAAGAACCUUUUCAAUCCCUUUGGCGACAUCGUUCACUUUUUGGUCCAUGCUUGUAAAGGAUCUUGCUCCUUUUGAGGAUGAUGAUCCGAAAAUAGGGGUUGAUGUGGACGUCACUUGCAGCCUUAAUGGAAGUUAAUUUGGAUUUGAUUUUCUGUGAAGCUAUUUUGAUUUUCUUGAACUUUGGUGAUUGAAAAGUUGAGAUGAGAGGUAGAGAUUGUCCCACUAGGCGUGCCAAAAUUUGUAGACAAUAAAUUUGCUUCAAGAAAUAAUGCGGCCAAAAAUAUUAAAACAAUUUGAUUUCAAGUAAUAUGAAUGUUAC